GUCAAAGCGUUCAUUAAAGUCGAGUUGGCUUAGGGAUACGUUCGUUGGGUAGGGGAGCGUUCUGUAAGCCUGUGAAGGUGUGUCGUGAGGCAUGCUGGAGGUAUCAGAAGUGCGAAUGCUGACAUAAGUAACGAUAAAGCGGGUGAAAAGCCCGCUCGCCGGAAGACCAAGGGUUCCUGUCCAACGUUAAUCGGGGCAGGGUGAGUCGACCCCUAAGGCGAGGCCGAAAGGCGUAGUCGAUGGGAAACGGGUUAAUAUUCCCGUACUUGGUGUUACUGCGAAGGGGGGACGGAGAAGGCUAUGUUGGCCGGGCGACGGUUGUCCCGGUUUAAGCGUGUAGGUGUGUGUUCCAGGUAAAUCCGGUUCACUUUAACACUGAGGCGUGACGACGAGGCACUACGGUGCUGAAGCAACAAAUGC
rnacentral:rRNA from 2 species